CAGUAGCCGCGGGAAUACGUAGGUGGCAAGCGUUAUCCGGAAUUAUUGGGCGUAAAGCGCGCGUAGGCGGUUUUUUAAGUCUGAUGUGAAAGCCCACGGCUCAACCGUGGAGGGUCAUUGGAAACUGGAAAACUUGAGUGCAGAAGAGGAAAGUGGAAUUCCAUGUGUAGCGGUGAAAUGCGCAGAGAUAUGGAGGAACACCAGUGGCGAGGGCGACUUUCUGGUCUGUAACUGACGCUGAUGUGCGAAAGCGUGGGGAUCAAACAGGAUUAGAUACCCGUGUAGUCCCUGUCUCUUAUAC
rnacentral:rRNA from 1 species